rnacentral:rRNA from 1 species
GACGAACGCUGGCGGCGUGCUUAACACAUGCAAGUCGAACGGAAAGGCCCUGCUUUUGUGGGGUGCUCGAGUGGCGAACGGGUGAGUAACACGUGAGUAACCUGCCCUUGACUUUGGGAUAACUUCAGGAAACUGGGGCUAAUACCGGAUAGGAGCUCCUGCUGCAUGGUGGGGGUUGGAAAGUGUCGGCGGUUGGGGAUGGACUCGCUGGUUAUCAGCUUGUUGGUGGGGUAGUGGCUUACCAAGGCUUUGACGGGUAGCCUGCCUGAGAGGGUGACCGGCCACAUUGGGACUGAGAUACGGCCCAGACUCCUACGGGAGGCAGCAGUGGGGAAUAUUGCACAAUGGGCGGAAGCCUGAUGCAGCAACGCCGCGUGCGGGAUGACGGCCUUCGGGUUGUAAACCGCUUUCGCCUGUGACGAAGCGUGAGUGACGGUAAUGGGUAAAGAAGCACCGGCUAACUACGUG